rnacentral:lncRNA from 1 species
UAGUACGCAGUUACUGCUGAGCCAUAGUUCCUUAGUUGUCGAAGUUUCUCCGGUCGCGUUUUGCAUAUACCAAAAAGAGAAAUCAUACGAAUUUUUCACGUGUUGGGUGCAGUACCCAGUUUUUAAUGAGUGAUAUUAACUCAGGAAGUGGUGUACAGUUGGAUAUAUAUUUUUUGAAAAGGUGCUUAGCAAUCAGUGUCUAAUAAAAGACCUAUAUCGUUGAAAAUUUUGUGAAUUCCGUGACUGAUUGUGAGAAAUUUUUCCAUAAGCAGUGGUGAGCACUUUUUUUUACCGAGUUCGUCUCGAAGAAUUUGAAGUUGAGAAUUAUACUUCACAAACGCCGGAGUUGCCUGGUUCUUUGCGAUACGGAUCCAUUUUCAACUACCAUACCUACGCUGUGCUGAAAAAUUCGUAUGAAGGCUUUCAAUUGGUCAUCACGGUGCUUAGUUCGUCGCAGUACUCAUUCAACUUCCAACCACGACGGGCAGGAGUUACAUGGCCUCGCACGAUUCGUUUACAGGUAUCCGAAGAUGCUGCCGCCGUAGCUGCUGUAUGACCGGACUCCCCCUGUUCUUCAGGGGGAGUCCACCGUCCCCUG